GGGCAGCGCCGGGCCCCUCUGGUCGUAGCCCCUUGCUAUGACGAUGUCGGAGCUGCUCC
rfam:Pelagibacterium sp. SCN 63-23 ABS75_C0066, whole genome shotgun sequence.